UUUAGUGAAACACUUAAAUGAAAUACCCUAAACUUAAAACAGCCCAAGCACCUGAGUUUCACAUUUUUAUAGUCAUAAACGGGAAUACCUGAUGUGCAAUAAAAGCAGCGAGUGAUUUAUUUCCUUGACUUGAUUUCUCGGCCUUUUAUUUAAUGCACAUCAUGUGGAUGAUGAGGAACAAGCGGCACCGGAGGAAGGUCAGAAGGAAGAGGUAAAUGGUGAGCAACAGAAGACACAGGAAGGGGUGAUAAAGACGAGGGCAGCGGAACAAGCCAAAAAGGGGAAGAAGAGGGAAAAAACCAACAAGGGGGAGAAUAAGGACCAUAGGGUUGUGGUGGGAGGAAGGGGAGCACUAUGUGAUGCUCAUCAAGUUUAUCUUAAUUCGGAAUAAUGAACAGUUGGACUUGAAAUAACGGUGCGCGUGUACUGUACUAUUAAAUGAUACAGUAGAAAAGGAUGGACGAAUGGACUGAUCAGGGCUUGGGUAGCCCAUAAUAGACAGUUAAGGUGCUCG